CAAGGUCAUCUGCUGCAUUUUGGGCCAUUGCCAGUCAUCUUGACUUUUUCCUGACACUAGACUUCAAUGACUCUUGAAGAGAGGGUGAGGCUGAUGAUUUUGUGCAACUCUUCCUUAAGUCCAAUUCACAAGCAAAUCAAGAAAUCACUCUUUAAUGUCACUGGUCCUCUUCAAAACAGAAGACAAACAACAUGACUGCUCUGUGGGCUCUAGCCAUUCAACUAAUUUUGAAUACUUCUGCCUGUACCAUUAUCUGAUCAAACCAUUAUAAAACUAUCUGUUAGGGAUUUAAAAAGACCCUUUAAAAAGAUAUUUUAAAAAGCACUGUAUUCCAUGUACCAUUGAAUAUUUGUCAAUAUAAGAAGGAUGGACUCUAUAAAUACCCCAAGAAUAUUGCUCAGGUGUUGUUGAAAAGAACUUAUUCAUGAGACUGAAAUGCUUAUGUCAUGUUGAAGUAGAGGAUGUAAUGAGGGAAAUAGUUCUCCUGGUCCUGAAUCCUACCAGCAGGGAAGAAUUGAUUGCUGAAACAGAAACAAAAGGAAGUCUUCUGAGGCUAAGUGAGUAUUCUGCCUUAAUUCAAUUUCACAUUCAGUUGAUUCUAUUUUACUAGAGAUUUUAAAGUAAAAGAUGGAUGAACAUUUGUGUAUAUUAACAUAA
rnacentral:lncRNA from 1 species